CCGGGGCCUCCGAGCAGGGCGCGGGCCGGGGCCGCCGGGGCCCGGAGCGCCCAGCUGCUCCUUCCUGACCAUGGUCACGGAGAUGCGGUAGACUGUCUUCCUGGGGGGCGUCCCGCGCUGCAUCGCGUCCGCAGGCGGAGACGCGGGUUCGCCGCUGCCGUCCAGCAGGAGAACUGAGUCGGAUCACUGCAGGAGGAAGGGUUUCUGAUCUAAGACCUCCCGUGAUGCCCAGCUUCUGCCAUCACCCUGCCCAGGCUGAGCUCAUUAGGGACCCAGGAGAUAAGGACUGGACCCUCGAGUCCCAUAAGUAUGGAGUAUGCUGGGUCCUAGGGCCAAGGACGUUCUGAUCCAGGAGAAGAAAAUCCCCACCCCACCGCCCAGCACCUACAUCUUGCUCGCCUUUUUCCUGGAGGACCAACAGCAGUGCAGCCUGCCGGCCCAACUGUGGGCCCAGACGGUCUGAGCCCGUCCCGCCUGCCUCUGUAGGUCAUGAUGAAGAGCUCUGGACGGCCUCUCUAUAAAAAGAGAAGCCAUGAUCUCCAGUAAUCCUCCCCGGAGUCCGAAGAACAGCAGUAGAGACGGAGGGCGCCGCCGCCAGUCCUUAUGUGACAGACACGUCAUCACUUAUAAUUCGUUUAAACCAAUGAGCGUCAUGGAUGUGACUGAGAUGCUGGAAAGGACAAUAAUGAAGCUCUGCCUACAGUAACUAUUUAAAACCCUAAGCAAUAUUGUAUUGUGUUUAAUCAGAGCAUGUCCUAUGCAAGAUGCUCGAAGACUUGGACCCAUGCGUGCCUGCCCGGGUAUGGACAAUGCAUCAGAGAGCCUGUGGGAUCUCAGCUAAGCUCCUGGCUUCCCUCCAGGAGGCCUCGAACCCGGCAGGGACGUGGGGAGCAGGCUGGAGGGACCACGGAAACAGGGCUGGAGCUGCCUUCUCACAGGGUCCCCUCCUGCACUAGGUCAGAGCAGUGUCACUCCAUCCUUUAAACACGGGAGCCGCCGUUUAAACUGCAGAGAGCCAGGGCUGGAAGAGAUUCCAUCUGACCCAUUUCACAGAUAAAGCAGCCUCCAGGGUAGCCAACCUGCCGGAGGCCACCGCGGGAACAGAGGAGCGGGCCGGCCACAGCCAGUACUGCAGCCCCCAGGAAGCGUCGGAAGCCAAGCGGAAACCUCACAUCCACAUAAGGAGACCCAUGAAAAGCGGGCUUGGUUUCAAAACUAUGCCCAAAUCCCUUAGGAGUCGAUUCGCACUCCCCAGUACAGGCCUGUGUCAGGCCAAAGUGGCUGAAGGGAGAACCAGAGCCAAGCCCAUUCAUUGCCACUCUCUGGAAACAAACGCCACUGCUGGGUGUGACCCCCUCAGCAGCUCCCAUUUAGGGUCACCCUUAGGGUAUUGGGCGCUGGCUGCAGCCAGGGCUCCCCGCGAGGCUGCUCCCCUAGCUCUGUGGAGAGUCGGCUGAGGUGUCAGAAGGAUUUCAUCAAGACCAACCCCCAACUUUGCACCUGUCCCCUGAACAGCUGCAAAGAAGCUUUGGGAUUUGCAUGGAGAAAACCCAGGGAUGCCCUAAUCCUUCCAGCCUUCGGCGGUGCAAGGGGCUCCGGCACCAGCCUAUCUGGUAACACCUUCCUCUGCGGGACCCCCCAGUGAGGCUGCUCAGUGGUCCUCCAGACCCGACAGUUCAAACCCAGCAAGGGUCUGGCGUGGACCCUCCUGGCCGCCUCUGGAAUAGAAACAAAUGCCAGAGGCUGUCGAAGAUCAGCCCCUUCGACGGGUCUCACAGCAGCUGGAUGUUUACUAAAGCAGGCUGGUCUUCAGAUCCACGGACCCCAAAGAUCCGUAAAAUCCCCAGCUUCCGUGAGAGUCGAAACCGAGGACACAGAUGAUGCCUUGGGGAUUAUUGUCGGCACUGUCACAAAGCUCACCACCAACACAAGCCUAUUUUCUCAGGAGUUAUCACUACCACAUACCGUGUGUGGUUUGGCCGCCAAAAUAUCUGGAAAUCUUUCAUCUGUGCCCCGGGGACGUACAGGUUUGAUACGUUUUCCUCUAAAUGCUAAAAACAUGACUAAGAUGCCUGUUUGAAACCUCACCGCCGCCCCCCCCAUGCCCGCCCCAAAUCCGCAGUGGGAGACACGUGAGCAGCCUCCUGCCUUCAUUAGCCAGUGUGUCACCAGCUCCCGGUCCCCAGACUCAGAGGAUAAACACUUCAGGGCGGCUGGUGGCAGCAGCCACCCCCUCGUCAGCGACAGUUUGCAUUCAAGCUCUGGGGACACCAGGAUCAGCUGUGACACAGGAAGAAGGAAUAAAACCCCUGUCCUCUCAUCCGCCUGCCACACACGGGCUGUCAGCACCCGGCGUGCCAAGGGCAGGGGCGAGGGGUUCCUGCAGCAGGAAGAUGGGGGAGUGGGGCCUUAUGCGCCUCUUUCCCCAAUUAUCAUGUUGUGUCAGGCUCGCUUCCUUUGAAAAAUCACCACCAACCCCAGAACCUUCCAUGAAAAAAGACAGACCGAGGGGGGAAAUGAUAAAUAAAUCUGCUAUGGCCAA